rnacentral:sRNA from 1 species
GAGAAUUUAAGCCGUCGGUUAAA